rnacentral:rRNA from 1 species
GUGCCAGCAGCCGCGGUAAUACGGAGGAUCCAAGCGUUAUCCGGAAUCAUUGGGUUUAAAGGGUCCGUAGGCGGUUUAAUAAGUCAGUGGUGAAAUCUGGUCGCUCAACGAUCAAACGGCCAUUGAUACUGUUAGACUUGAAUUACUGGGAAGUAACUAGAAUAUGUAGUGUAGCGGUGAAAUGCUUAGAUAUUACAUGGAAUACCAAUUGCGAAGGCAGGUUACUACCAGUGGAUUGACGCUGAUGGACGAAAGCGUGGGGAGCGAACAGGAUUAGAAACCCCCGUAGUCC